rnacentral:rRNA from 1 species
CAAUAGCGUAUAUUAAAGUUGUUGCGGUUAGAAAGCUCGUAGUUGGAUUUCUGCCGAGGACGACCGGUCCGCCCUCCGGGUGAGUAUCUGGUUUGGCCUGGGCAUCUUCUUGGAGAACGUAGCUGCACUUGACUGUGUGGUGCGGUGUCCAGGACUUUUACUUUGAGGAAAUUAGAGUGUUUCAAGCAGGCACACGCCUUGAAUACAUUAGCAUGGAAUAAUAAGAUAGGACCUCGGUUCUAUUUUGUUGGUUUCUAGAGCUGAGGUAAUGAUUAAUAGGGAUAGUUGGGGGCAUUCGUAUUUAACUGUCAGAGGUGAAAUUCUUGGAUUUGCUAAAGACGGACUACUGCGAAAGCAUUUGCCAAGGAUGUUUUCAUUGA